rnacentral:rRNA from 1 species
GACGAACGCUGGCGGCGUGCUUAACACAUGCAAGUCGAACGGUGAUCUUGAGAGCUUGCUCUUGGGUGAUCAGUGGCGAACGGGUGAGUAACACGUGAGUAACCUGCCCCUGACUCUGGAAUAACUUCGGGAAACCGAAGCUAAUACCGGAUAUGACACAGAGCCGCAUGGUUUCUGUGUGGAAAGUUUUCGGUUGGGGAUGGACUCGCGGCCUAUCAGCUUGUUGGUGAGGUAAUGGCUCACCAAGGCGACGACGGGUAGCCGGCCUGAGAGGGCGACCGGCCACACUGGGACUGAGACACGGCCCAGACUCCUACGGGAGGCAGCAGUGGGGAAUAUUGCACAAUGGGCGAAAGCCUGAUGCAGCGACGCCGCGUGAGGGAUGAAGGCCUUCGGGUUGUAAACCUCUUUCAGUAGGGAAGAAGCGCAAGUGACGGUACCUACAGAAGAAGCACCGGCUAACUACGUG